rnacentral:rRNA from 1 species
CCUACGGGGGGCUGCAGUGGGGAAUAUUGGACAAUGGGGGCAACCCUGAUCCAGCCAUGCCGCGUGUGUGAAGAAGGCCCUCGGGUUGUAAAGCACUUUCAGUGAGGAAGAACGCCUGGUGGUUAAUACCCAUCAGGAAAGACAUCACUCACAGAAGAAGCACCGGCUAACUCCGUGCCAGCAGCCGCGGUAAUACGGAGGGUGCGAGCGUUAAUCGGAAUUACUGGGCGUAAAGCGCGCGUAGGUGGCUUGAUAAGCCGGUUGUGAAAGCCCCGGGCUCAACCUGGGAACGGCAUCCGGAACUGUCAAGCUAGAGUGCAGGAGAGGAAGGUAGAAUUCCCGGUGUAGCGGUGAAAUGCGUAGAGAUCGGGAGGAAUACCAGUGGCGAAGGCGGCCUUCUGGACUGACACUGACACUGAGGUGCGAAAGCGUGGGUAGCAAACAGGAUUAGAUACCCUAGUAGAC